rnacentral:lncRNA from 1 species
CCGGUAUCCGCUGCAGUACUGGGAGGAGAUGGCACACAGGUCCGGGGAGAUGGAGAGGUAGGCCCCAGGGUGGGACAGUACAGGUAGUCUGAAAGGGAAGCAAGUUCCUGGCACGAAGCUGAAGAAACACUCCAGGGAAUUCACCUGGUAGCCAAACCCGUUGGCUUCCUCCUGUUGUUCGCACAGCAGACUUAGAGCCUCAGUCCAUGGAGGGACACGCAUGCACACAUGCGUGAACGAAGUGGCUCAGAGAAGGAGGAGCAGAAAGAGGCUGGGGUCCUGUAAUUAGAGCACGUGCACUGCGGGCUGAUGGGUCUACGGGUAACAUGCUAACAGAGGAAGGCGCUAAGAGAGCCUGGCUGCCACAGGCUGCAGAAAGGCUCCCAAUGGGCAGAGACCAUCUGGACAGACCCAGAGGCCACCGAAGGGACGCCCCUUGGUGAGGAAGACAUUCACUCCAGCCACUUCAGAGAAACCCAAGGAGC